rnacentral:lncRNA from 1 species
CGCGGCCGUUGCUCUCCGUCCGUCAGGUGAGGCGGGAUGCGGGUCUGGGAGGGUGUUCUCUUCGUCGUCCUCCUCUCCGCGCCCCGGGAGGAGUCGCCGCGGAGCUAAGGGUUCGGCCCGGUCUGUUUCUGCGCCGAGGACGGAGGCUGGGCAUUCUUCCGAGGAGGAGCUUCGCUUCUGCCCGCGGGUGAAGGAGGAAGCCUUCGUCCUCCCAGCUCCCGCCGCCACAGCCCAAGCCACUGAGGAGGCAGCUUUACUUCUGAGGAGACGCGCCUGCCAGGGUCGCCCGUGGUCAUUCGGCAACCCGACGCCGGCCGCUGUGGGGAAUGGCAGGACCUCGAGGGGGAAACGGCUGCCACUUCCCGUCUCCCAGCCUAAUGGAUCUGGUGCUGUGAAAAGUAAGCGCCUGCAGGAAGCUAGCUAUUGCUGUUAUUGUGUGUUAUAAAAAAGGCUCUAAUGCUGUUUUUGGCCUGUUUAAUAACCAUUUAAUCCACGGGCUCAUUUAUUAUUUUAUCUGUUUCGUAAGAUUUAUAUACCGCUAGAUUGUAAAAACGACCUCGAAGCGGUUUACGGGGGGGAGGGGGAAGGCAAAACAAUAAAAUCAAGAAGCAAUAAAUCCAGCCUUGUACCAAACCUGAGAUCACCUUUUUACAGCUGCAUAGGUGCAACACAUGCCAUUGGUUUGAGAAACAAUGUCUAGGUGGGCUUUAGAAGUGGCAGCUUUCAGGAUACUUUGGAGAUGGGGAAUUCAGUUUAGACUUUUUAAAACUUUGGCACAGGGACUUGAGCUCAAGACUUGUGUCUCAAUUCUGAGCAGGUCUCAAGGCUCAAAGCUAGAUACUGUACUGUGCAAAUAGCACUGAGAAACACGGGUGCCUGCUAAUUACUGUACGGUAUUAGACUCUGAGGACUAGUUUGACGCCCCCUAAUGGUGAAAACUAUCCUCACAGCACAGGACCCUUACUGUUACCGUUUUGUACUUGCUUUAAAGUUAUGGAUUUUUUAAUCUCGUAUUUAGGAUGCAAUCCUAAUCCUACCUGCCUACCUGGGGGUAAACUCCUACAGAACUCAGUCAUUUUCUUGAGUAGAAAUGCUUAAGAUUGCAGAAAGACAUUCCAAUUUUUGGUGACUUGUGUACUCCAGUUUUAUAUGAGACAUUUAGUAAUAAAUGGAUGCCAGCAAAAAUAUAUUUAUGCCAGGAGUCAAGUAUACUUAGAAUGGGUCAAAUUUCUUUUGAUAGAGGAUAUGUCACAAAACUCGUUUGUGUCUCGUGUCUGUAACAAACUGUUUUCUCAUGAUGAUUUAUAGCUGUAAUUGUGAACAGGGAUAUUUAUUAACAUCACACUGAUCUCAGUACUGUAUGUAAUAAAAUAUCUGCUGUAUUGAUUUGUAAAAUGAAGGCUUAUCAAUACCUGAGAGCAAAUAUUUAUCUUGUUGCAUACUAGAAGAUAAACUUCUACGAGGCCAUUGGAUAUCAACCCAUGUGACAUGUCUGAGCCAUGACUGAUUAUUUUUCUCUACCCAAUAAGGAAAUAAAAUGUUUUAAAUGUAUAAUGAGAAUGGUUUGAGUGCACAAUCAAUACAUUCAGUUGCAUGUGCUUUCAGGCUGGAGAAUGUGGAUUGAAGAGUUUUUUAUUUCAUUGUUUUCAACUAAAGAAUGCGUAAUUGUAUGCAGCACAAUAUUUACUUGUGAGUUUGUACUGAGCUAUUUUUCUUUUUUUUUUUGCGGGACACGGGUGGUGCUGUGGGUAAAACCUCAGCGCCUAGGACUCAGCGCAUGGCCGGCGGUUCGAAUCCCCGCGGCGGGGUGCGCUCACGUCGUUCGGUCCCAGCGCCUGCCAACCUAGCAGUUCGAAAGCACCCCCGGGUGCAAGUAGAUAAAUAGGGACCGCUUACCAGCGGGAAGGUAAACGGCGUUUCCGUGUGCUGCGCUGGCUCGCCAGAUGCAGCUUGUCACGCUGGCCACGUGACCCGGAAGUGUCUGCGGACAGCGCUGGCUCCCGGCCUAUAGAGAUGAGCGCAUAACCCUAGAGUCUGGCAAGACUGGCCCGUACGGGCAGGGGUACCUUUACCUUUACUUUUUAUUUUUCUGCUUUAGGCUGCAAUCCUAUAUUCAUUUACCCCCAGGUGAAGUCCUGCUGAACUCAAACUAGGUUUACUUCUGUGUAGAUUUGUAUAGGAUUGUAAUGUAAAUGGCAGAACUGUAACACUACAUGUCUUUUUUUUUUUAAAAGCAAUUUAUUAGGUUUUACAAUAGGAAUAAAUGUAAUAAACAAUAUAGCAUUCGUCUUAACAUAUUUUCACAUUUUCUUAGGACUUCCUCACAUCUCCCGCUCCCACCUUCAUCAUUAUAACAUUUUGUCAGCAAUUUAUCAUCUUAUUUAAAUUCUUAAAUCUCUUCGAUAUUUCAUAAUCUUAAAGUUCUCAUAAAGAGUUAAGCUUUCACAAUUUUUCUUGUUUCCUUAAAAAUUUCUAAGUUAAGUGGUGCUCAGUUAUUUAGUCCAGCAUCUUAUUCAGCAUUCAAUCAAAUCACAAUGUUUUUGUAGGUAGUUCUUAAAUUUCUUCCAAUCCUCCUCGAUUCUCUCUUCUCCCAGGUCACGGAUUCUGCCAGUCAUUUCAGCCAGUUGCAUAUAGUCUAUCAGUUGCAUCUGCCAUUCUUCCAGUGUGGGUAGAUCUUGGGUUUUCCAAUGUUUUGCAAGUAGUAUCCUUGCUGCUGUUGUUGCGUACAUAAAAAUGUCUGGUCCUUCUUUGCCACCCCUUGGCUGACAAUACCCAAAAGGAAAGCCUCUGGUUUCUUAGUGAAAGUAUAUUUAAAUACCUUUUUCAAUUCAUUGUAAAUCAUUUCCCAGAACGCCUUCACUUUAGGGCAUGUCCACCAGAGGUGAAAGAACGUUCCUUCACACUCUUUGCAUUUCCAGCACUUGUUAUCAGACAGGUGGUAAAUUUUUGCGAGUUUGACUGGGGUCAUAUACCAUCUAUAAAUCAUUUUCAUUACAUUUUCUUUCAAAGCAUUACAUGCAGUAAAUUUCAAUCCAUUACUCCACAGCCUUUCCCAGUCCUCAAACAUAAUAUUGUACCCAAUGUCCUGUGCCCACCUUAUCAUAGCCGAUUUAACCAUUUCAUCUUGUGUAUUCCAUUCCAACAGCAAGUUAUACAUCCUUGAAAGUAUCUUAGUCUUUGGUUCUAACAAUUCUGUUUCUAAUUUCGAUUUCUCCACCUGGAACCCUAGUUUCUUAUCACUUUUAAAAACUUCUUUAAUCUGAGCAUAGUGUAACCAAUCUCGCACUUUGUCUUUCAUUUUCUCCAAGCUCUGCAAUUUCCAAUUGUCUCCAUCUUUUCUAGUAUUUCCCAAUAUUUUGGCCAUUUGGCCUCCAUAUUGGGUCUUUUUCGAGCCUUAGCUUCCAAAGGUGAAAGCCACCUUGGUGUUUUAUUUUCCAGCAAGUCUUUAUAUUUUGUCCAGACAUUAAACAGUGAUUUUCUAACAAUAUGGUUCUUAAAGGCCUUAUUUGCUUUAACUUUGUCAUACCAUAAAUAUGCAUGCCAUCCAAAAACAUUGUUAAACCCCUCCAAAUCUAACACAUCAGUGUCUUCAAGAAGUAGCCAGUCUUUUAGCCAGCAGAACGCUGCGGCUUCAUAGUACAACUUUAAGUCCGGCAGGGCAAAGCCCCUCUUUGUUUUGCAUCGGUUAGUAUCUUAAACUUAAUUCUGGGCUUUUGCCCUGCCAGACAAACUUCGAAAUAUCUCUCUGCCACUUCUGAAAGCACCCCAUUUUGUCCAAUACCUGCAGUGUUUGAAAUAAAAACAACAUUCUUGGCAAUACAUUCAUCUUAAUCGCAGCAAUUCGGCCUAACAAAGAAAGUUUCAAUUUUGACCAACUGUCUAAGUCUCUCUUAAUUUCUGUCCAACAUUUUUCAUAAUUAUCCUUAAAUAGACUUAGAUUUUUGCUGUUAUGUUUACCCCUAGGUAUUUUACUUUUUUAACCACAUUAAGUUCCGUCUCAUUCUGAAACCGUUCUGACUCUGUCUCAGUCAGAUUUUUCCCCAAAACCUUAGUUUUCUGUUUGUUUAAUUUAAAUCCCGCCACCCGACCAAAGUCAUUAAUCAAUUGUAAUACUCUUUUCGUACUAGGCUCUGGCUUCUGCAAGGUCAAAACCAGGUCAUCUGCAAAAGCUUUUAAUUUAUAUUGUUUCUGACCAACCUGAAUUCCUUCCACCAGCUGGUCCCCUCUGAUCAUGUUCAAUAGCACCUCCAGGACCGAGAUAAAUAACAAGGGGAAAUAGGGCAACCUUGUCGUGUCCCUUUUUCAAUUUUGAACUCUUCUGUAACCACAUUAUUAACUAUCAGUUUUGCUUUCUGUUCUGAAUAUAUCGCCUCAAUCCCAUUCUCAAAACCCCGUCCCACUCCCAUCUCUUUUAAGUUUCCCAUCAUAAAUUUCCAAGAAAUGUUAUCAAAGGCCUUCUCCGCAUCUAUAAAAAUUAAAACAGCUUUUGUAUUUAUGUCAGUUUGGAGAAGUUCCAAAAUAUCAAUAAUGUUCCUUGUGUUAGCAAACAAAUGUCUACCUGGGAGAAAACCGGCCUGGUCCUUAUGAAUUACUUCAUUUAAAACUUUUUAAAAUCUACUUGCCAAAAUAUCUGCAAAUAUUUUGUAAUCCACAUUUAAAAGGGAGAUGGGACGGUAGUUCUUCAGUUGUGUCUUUUCAGUUUCUAACUUUGGUAUCAAUGUGAUAAACGCUUCCUUCCACGAAUCCGGUGCCCUCUUCCCCUCCAUAAUUUCAUUGCUAACCUCCAUCAAAGGUUGUAUCAAAUAGUCUUUUAGUGUCUUGUAAUACUUGGAGGUCAGCCCGUCUGGCCCUGGAGAUUUGCCAAGUUGCAUGUUCUGAAUAGCUUGUUCAAUCUCCUGUCGUGUUAUUUUAGAGUUCAGGAUUGUCCUAUUUUCUUGUGACAGUUUAGAUAAUCCAUUUUUUGCCAAAAAUUGUUUAAUCUCAACUUCGUCUUGCGGCCCUUGGGUAUAUAACUUUUUAAAAUAUCUCUGGAAACACUUUCUAAUGUCCACUGGAUUCUGAAUGUUUCUUCCAUCAACCUCUAAAUUUGUAACCGUGUUUAAUCUUUGUCUUCUCUUCAACUGCCAAGAUAGCAGUUUUCCACAUUUAUUCGCCGACUCAAACGUUUUUGUUUCAUUAAUUUGAUCUUCCAUUCAAUUUCCUGAUUUAUCAAUUUAGAAUACUGUGUUUGAUAAAGUUUAAUUUCUCUCAGAGUUGGCUGUGACUUUGGAUUCACUCUUAAUUUCUUCUCCAAGUCUUUUAUUUUAUCCAAAAUCUUGUCUUUUUUCUCAUUUUGUGUUUUUUUCUUUACUACAUUCUGUUGUAUCAGAAAACCCCUCAUGACAGCUUUGCUUGCGUCCCAGACGAUUCUUUUUUCCACCGAAUUGUUCAUAUUUAUCUCAAAAUAAUCUUUCAAAACUUUUUGGGCCUUCUUGGUAAUUUCCUGAUCUCUAAACAAAUUGUCAUUCAUCUUCCAUCUAAAGGAUCCAGUUGGUAGUAGUGUCAUGUCCAUCUUUACUGCGUUGUGGUCAGAACAGGUCUUUGGGCAGAUUUCCACUUUUCUAACCCUAGGUGCCAGGCCUCUAGAGAUCCAUAUUUGGUCGAUUCUUGUCCAGGUCAGUUGGGCUUCAGAAAAGAAUGUUCCUUCUCUACCUAGUGGGUUUUUGUUCUCCAAAUGUCGAUCAAGUCCAUAUUGUCAGUCAUUUCAAAAAGGUUUUAGGUAGUCUGCCAUCUUUUGUGAUGUUUUGACUUUGCGACUUGUCCAUGUUAGUUGACACGACCCGAUCAGGUCUCCCCUCAUUAUGAUGUUGUUGUAAUCCAGAUGAUCCAGCAUUGUCCCCUGCAACUUCUUGUAAAAUUCCGAUUUCCCUUCAUUAGGCGCAUAGAUUCCUAAUAUCAGCAAUUUCUCUCCUUGAUAUUGUAUCUCAAUAGCCAAAAUCCUUCCAUGUUCAUCUUUAAAUAGAAAUUUAGGUGACAGGCUCUCUUUGCAUAUAUCACCACUCCUCUCUUCUUCACUUUAUCCGACGAAAUAAAUUCCUGGCCCAAUCUUUUAUUUGUUAACACUUUUCUGUGGAGCCUCGUCACAUGUGUUUCUUGUAAACAAAUAAUGUCCAAUUGUUCUUUUUUUAAUAUAUGAAAAAUUUUCUUCCUUUUCUCCGGGAUAUUGCAACCAUUAAUAUUCCAGCUCAACAGUUGCAGAGACAUCCUGGAUCUAUCUGGUUAUUUCUCCUGGGGUGGUGUCUUCUCUUGAUCUUCAAGUUCCCGAGGUGGAGGUAUUGAUGCUGGCUUUGCCUCAGGCCCGGAAGGUAGUUCAAUUCCUUUAUGUAGGUCCUCUCCGUGUGUAGCCAAAAAUUUAUCUCUCUCUUCCAAUGUUCUAAUUUUAACCUUUCUCGCUCUAAAGGUAAAAGACAAUCCCUGGGGAAAAUCCCACCUGAAUGGAAUUGCGUUGCUCCUUAAUAGUUUAGCUAGUUCAGAAUAGGCGGCUCUAAGAUCCAACAGUUGUCUUGGGAUAUCUUUAUAUAUCUCAAUUCUUCUAUCCAAAACUUCCAGUGACUUUUCGUAAUGUAGGCCCAAAAUCUUAUCCCUUUCCUCCUUCGAUCUCAAUGUAAUCAAACAAUCCCUGGGCCUCUCCUUCUUUAUAAAUCUUCCAAGUCUGAAAGCUGACACAAUUUUAAAGUCCUUUUCUUCCAAAUUCCAGAACUUGGAAAGUUCUUUGGUCAAAAACUCAGUUAGAUUUCCUUCUUCUGCCUCUUGUAAUGAUCUAAUCCUCAGAUUAUUCUCACGAUUUCGCAGUUCUAUCUACAUGUCAACCUAUGCUUAAAACAUGCAAGGUUCUACAACUCUUCUUAAAAGACUUUACUGUACAUGUAAUUAACAUUGAGAAUUAAACUUGUCUUCAGGGAUACCGUAGUAAAACUCUUGAGCAAAGAACAGUUUUAUAUUAUUACAUUUUUAUGUUUCUUGUAGCUCAAAUGCAGGACAAGAGUUUAAUUCUAGCAGGAGGCAAUCUAACAUUUUAAAUUCCAAAUCUUGAAGUUGUCUUCCAUGUAUAUUUGAAUUACAAAGUUUCCUCUGGUGCUGGAACGAAUCCUGAACCACAUAUAACACAAUAAUUAUUAAGAUAAUUAUUAAGAUUAGGGUGUGCAUCAAAUAUUUGCUUUGAGUACUACUUUGGUAAGUGAAUUGAUGUAGCUCGGCAACUUUUGAGGAUACUUAUUUUGACUUGUGUCCAAAGCAGAACUUCCCCUAUGGAAAAAUCUGAAGUUUCAUAUGUCUUCCCAUUGACUUAUCCUCCCUCCCCCCCACCCCCGUAGAGGAUGUCAGUCACAUUUUAAAUAUACAGUGGUACCUCUGGUUACGUAUUUAAUUCGUUCUGGAGGUCUGUUCUUAACCUGAAACUAUUCUCAACCUGAAGCAACACUUUAGCUAAUGGGGCCUCCCGCUGCCGCCGCCACAUGAUUUCUUUUCUCAUCCUGAAGCAAAGUUCUUAACCCGAGGUACUGUUUCUGGGUUAGCGGAGUCUGUAACCUGAGGCAUAUGUAACCCGAGGUACCACUGUAUAGGCGGCUUUGUGUAUGCAAGGGAAUCCAUUCAAGUUUGGGUGGAAAGAAUUUGCUCACCACAUUCUGGAGUGGGGGGUAUUUAUGGAAAUAGUUUACAUUGUAGAGAUGCCUGUAAUUUAAAUAACCUGUAUCAGAUGGAUAGGUACAUAGGUUAGGGAAAUAAAUUUAAUGAAAAACUAUUUUCUGUCAAUUUGACAGCAAAGUGAGCUGUCUGUCAGUCAGAAAAACUAGACUCCUGCCUGACUUUCUUAUAUGAAGUGGCCAGGGGAGAAAUGUAUAGAUUUUCCAAGGCACAGUGUGUGUCUCCAACACAAUCAUAAAGCUUCAGGAAGAAUAAGAUCACUUCAGUAUGGUGUGCUUCUGAGAGCAUCUAGUCAGACAAGCCCCUUCUCUUUUCCUAGCAGCUCACUUAUGAGAUUUAUCAGAACCAGAUUUAUCAAACCUAAUUAAAAUAGCAGGUUUCAUCUUGAGCUUUCAUUACCUUACACUAGCAGUUCUCAGCAUGCAAUACUGUUGGGAGGGCGAUAAGGUGAUUGCUGGUAAUUAUUUUUACAUAUUUAAACAUUAAUGCAAUAAACAUUUUCUUAUUUCUAAGAUCACUACAAAGUAUGGAGUUUGGCCGGAGGAAAAAUUGCUUGUAGGUUAAUUCUAUCUAUGCAUGCCUGUUCAGAAAUAAGAUUCAUCUAUUGUGUUCAACAGAUAAAAGUGUCUAAGAGAACAAUCUUAGUUUUGCAGGCCAGAAUACAAAUUGAUUCAUUAUAUGCCAGCAACACUACCUAAUUUGGUUCUGGUGUUACUUUAAUCAACUCUUCUCUAGGAACCACCAGGAAAAGAAAAAUCAAGUAAGGAGGUUCUGAAAUCUACUUCAAUAUCCCUUUACAAACCGAAGUGGACAUGGGAAAGGUUUUUUCUAGGAAGGGGGUCCAAAUAUAAAUGCAACUUAAGAUUUCCAACCAUGAUUCAC